rnacentral:lncRNA from 1 species
CCAGUUUCAGCUCGUCAAGAAGUAUGAACAGGUGAAGGUUGCAGUCUACGAUGACAGAGGAAGCAUGGCGGCACAAGCAUGGGACAUGUGGCUGCGUUGCAUUUGAAGGCAGGUAGAGAUGAAGGCGGGUGCUUAGCUCACUUUCUCCCUUCUAUUCAGUUUGGAAUCCCAGCUUGAGGACUGGUGCCACCUACAUUCAGGAUGGGGCCUUGUCUUCUUUAGAAACACCUUCCUAGACAGACCCAGGAGUGUGUGUUUCUAUGGUGAUUCUAAAUCCUAUCAAAUUGAUAAUGAAGUUUAAUCAUCACAG